GGCGGGCCAGGCGGCGGUGGCUGUGGAGGCCAGGUGCCCAUUGGAGGCUGGGGCAGGAGGGAGACGGGCGGCGGGACUUCCCUCUUCGCCACCUGGGAGGAGGAAGGGCAGUGGCAGGGCCCUUUUCGGCUGCCUGCUGCCUGGUAAGGAAGGCCUGUGGCGGCUGUGAGGUCUGGCCGAAAAUGGCCACCUGCUGUCCGGUGAGAGUUCAUCCCGUGUCCCAUGCUCUAUACUUUAUCCUCACAUAGCCCUCAGCUACUCUACUAUCGGUUGUCAGGAUAAAAAAACCCAAGCAGGAAGAACUUGGUCGCGGCAAUGAAAGCUAGACACAGGGAAGUAGAGAUAAAUACAUAUUUCUCAGUAAUAUUGGUCGACAUAAGUAUAAAGUUGUUAACCUCUCCAGUUUUGAAUACAGACCCCUUGCACUAGCAGUGUCCCAGGUGGAUGAGAAGAGUGCCACUCAUCACAGUGUUUGUGUGAACUCACACCAAGGCAGGAAUCUCAGACUCCUCUUGGGCCAUAAAUCACCUUGGCAUGGGUUCACACAAUUAUGCUAAUGCUGGUAACCCACAUUAAGCCUAGAUUCAAACUGUGUGAAUGAGGCUAAUGUGUUACACUGUGAAGCAUCUUGUACAGAACUGUGACUCUAUAAAUAUGUUCUUGAUUGUAUAAUGAAUAGAAUUUUGAAGCUGGAAAAUGGCAGGAUGUUAAAAAAAAAUAUCCCUCCCCCUUAUCUAAUGCAGGCUCUCUUAUUAAUAAUAAAUAAUAAUAAUACAGAACAUAAGCAAUACAUGCUUUUCAGCAUUUGCAUAAAAUUGAUUGCUGCAACCAUCUUAAUUUGCCAUCUCUUUUGUUUUCAUACUUUUAAUAUAUUUUCAUGUUAACAGGGUUAAAUGGAGUAAUAAAGCUAUUACAAAUCCUUGAUAUAAUGGAAGCCUUGCGUUCGGGCAAGCAUUAGCGCUCCCAUGACAUUGACUCUAAUUGCAUUAAUAGAAGUAGGGCUGUUGGACUUGUCAUGAGUCACUAAUUGCAAGCUUUGUUUCUUCUGUUUCCUCAAACUUUCAUGGAUGUCAAGGUUUCUCCAGGAGCUGUCAGUUCCGUUUACCAUCUGUUGGUUUCCCCAUAACUCUGAGGUAACAGGUGGGGGCCUCAUUAAUGCCUCAGUUGUCUUUGUCUGGAUGGAAACUGAGUUGGCCUAGAAUUUGAAAAAGAAAAAGGAGGAGGAGGAGCAAUACAUUGCACAGUCAACAAGGACUUUCCACAUCCAUUUUCUCCAUCAACAGCACCCACAGGAACAAGCUCAAGGUGCACAACAGUUUAUAGUGCAGUCUUUCCUCUCAUGUGGCAAUCAUCUUUACAGCUGAGCAAACACCCUGGAUGUUACAGCUGCAAUGCAAAGAAAUUAGUCAUAACAUUGACACAGCUCUAUGUUUUUACACUUCAGAUAAGCAGUUGCUUAACUGGGCACUUAUCCAGAACUGAACUGGAAAAUGUUUUGGUUGUUAUCGUCCCUUUGGGCUGCUCUUCAGCCCUGAGCUAAGCCAGGUUAGUGCUAUGAAGCUGCACUGAUGUAUAAAGGAUGUGACUCACAAAUGUCCUACUCCUCAUUACAAUACAUUACCACUUCUUUAAUCACAAUGGUCUGAAGGCAUCCAGACCCUCUAAAUAAUCAAAUGUUUGGAAGUAUUAUUUCCAUAGGAUUGAAUUGACAUGACCAUAUAGUGGAGGGUGCAUUACACAUUAUACGUAGUGGAGGGUGUGUUACACUUAAGCCCAGAAGCUUUAAAUCAGCUUAUCUUUCCCAAGUCUGUCACACAAAAUCUAAAUUUUACAUUGGGUAAAAUGUACAUCUGGUUAUAAUAUGCUCACUUCUGUCCUAUUCUAGCCAUGUCUAACCAUCCGCAAAUAACACAAGACAAGCUCAAUGAGGUUUUAGCAUGAUGGCCUGGUUCUCACAUUUGUUCAACACUAGUUUUAAUAUGGGUUACAAAUAGUAGUGUGAUUCCGUGAACCCAUGCCAAGGUGGGAGUCUCAGAUUCAUCUCAAGUCAAAAACCAACUUGAUGUGGAUGCAUACAAUCACAUUGUUGUUAACCUAGAUUUGAAUGCAGAGGCGUAACUAGGGAAAAUGGCGCCUAGGGCAAACACUGAAAUUGCACCCCCCCCCCCCCCAACAUCUGACACCCAUCUUUCAGAAAACUUGUUUUCAUGUGUUGCUGCUGGUUGUAGAGAAAGGAAAAGGAGUUGUGGUGUGUUCUUAUUUUCUCUAAAUCAUACUGUGUAUGAGAGAGAAGAUAAUGAACCGUUAAACAUUUGGAUUUAACUGUAGUUCACCAGUAUUUUUUAACUCUUUGUUUCAGUUAUAGACUUAAUAUUUUGAAUAACUGGGGGCUGAUUUGAGCACAUUUGAAGCACCUGUGUUUCCAGGACUUGACCCAACAUUAACACAAUUAAUGUGUCUCAUGAAACAAAACAACUUGACAAUGUAAUACAGGUUAUUAUGCCCUUGAAAA